rnacentral:rRNA from 1 species
CCAAUCGAACUCGGAGAUAGCUGGUUCUCCCCGAAAUAGCUUUAGGGCUAGCGUUGAUUUAGAUUACCGGAGGUAAAGCACUGAAUGGGCUAGGGGGCGAUAAGCUUACUGAACCCUAUCAAACUCUGAAUGCCGGCUAAUUGAUGAUCAGCAGUCAGACAGUGUGAGAUAAGUUUCAUUGUCAAAAGGGAAACAGCCCAGACCUACAGCUAAGGUCCCAAAUGUAUGCUAAGUGGAAAACGAUGUGGAGUUGCGAAAACAACCAGGAUGUUGGCUUAGAAGCAGCCAUUCAUUAAAAGAGUUCGUAAUAGAUCACUGGUCGAGUGACUCUGCGCGGAAAAUAUAACGGGGCUAAGUAUGCAACCGAAGCUUAGGAUGUCCGCAAGGGCGUGGUAGGGGAGCGUCGUGUACGGGGUGAAGUCGCAGCGGAAGCAGCGGUGGACUGUACAGGAGUGAGAAUGCCGGAAUGAGUAGCGAGAAUUAUGUGGGAAUCAUAAUGGCCGAAAAUCUAAGGUUUCUUGGGGAAGGUUCGUCCGCCCAAGGUAAGUCGGGAGCUAAGCUCAGGCCGAGAGGCGUAGGCGAUGCACAUACGGUAGAAAUUCCGUAACCACCGAAACUUAAACAGAGGGACACUUCGAAAUAGCGGAACCCGGGCGUUGGUUGACCCGGGCGUAAGGGAGCGAAAUUAGAGUAGCGAAGUCCGCGAUGUUCGGAGGCGAGAAAAGCUCUGAGGUAUGCUAAGGUGCCCGUACCGCAAACCGACACAGGUAGAUGAGGAGAGAAUCCUAAGGCCAACGGGAGAAGGGUUGUUAAGGAACUCGGCAAAUUGACCCCGUAACUUCGGAAGAAGGGGAGCCCCCUACGGGGGGUCGCAGAGAAAUGGCCCAAGCAACUGUUUACCAAAAACACAGGUCUAUGCUAAAUCGAAAGAUGACGUAUAUGGGCUGACGCCUGCCCGGUGCCGGAAGGUUAAGAGGAGAGCUUAGCGCAAGCGAAGGUUUGAAUUGAAGCCCCGGUAAACGGCGGCCGUAACUAUAACGGUCCUAAGGUAGCGAAAUUCCUUGUCAGGUAAGUUCUGACCCGCAUGAAAGGCGUAAUGAUUUGGGCACUGUCUCAACAGCCCGCCCGGCGAAAUUGUAGUACUGGUGAAGAUGCCAGUUACCCGCAACUAGACGGAAAGACCCCAUGGAGCUUUACUGCAGCUUAAUACUGAAAUUCGGUAGUACAUGUACAGGAUAGGUGGGAGACUGAGAAAUACAGGCGUCAGCUUGUGUGGAGUCGCUGUUGGGAUACCACUCUUGUACUGCUGGGUUUCUAACCUGCGGCCGUGAAUCCGGUCGGGGGACACUGUUAGGCGGGCAGUUUGACUGGGGCGGUCGCCUCCCAAAAGGUAACGGAGGCGCUCAAAGGUUCGUUCAGCACGGACGGAAAUCGUGCAAUGAGUGUAAACGCAUAAACGAGCCUAACUGCGAGACCGACGGGUCGAGCAGUAACGAAAGUUGGAGUUAGUGAUCCGGUGGUAUGUGAGUGGAAAUGCCAUCGCUCAACGGAUAAAA